rnacentral:misc_RNA from 1 species
GAUGAAGAACGUAGUAAAAUGCGAUAAGUAAUGUGAAUUGCAGAAUUCAGUGAAUCAUCGAAUCUUUGAACGCACAUUGCGCCCGCCAGUAUUCUGGCGGGCAUGCCUGUUCGAGCGUCAUUUCAACCCUCAAGCACAGCUUGGUGUUGGGACUCGCGUUAAUUCGCGUUCCCCAAAUUGAUUGGCGGUCACGUCGAGCUUCCAUAGCGUAGUAGUAAAACCCUCGUUACUGGUAAUCGUCGCGGCCACGCCGUUAAACCCCAACUUCUGAAUGUUGACCUCGGAUCAGGUAGGAAUACCCGCUGAACUUAAGCAUAUCCAAUAAGCGGAGGA